rnacentral:rRNA from 1 species
GACGAACGCUGGCGGCGUGCCUAAUACAUGCAAGUCGAACGCAGUGGGGACGGGUGCGUAACACGUGGGUAACCUCCCAUCAGAGGGGAUAACACUUGGAAACAGGUGCUAAACCGAUACUGAUGGAUGGAGCCGCGGUGCAUUAGCUAGUUGGAGGGGUAACGGCCCACCAAGGCCACGAUGCCUAGCUGGCCUGAGAGGGGGAUCGGCCACACUGGGACUGAGACACGGCCCAGACUCCUACGGGAGGCAGCAGUGGGGAAUCUUCGGCAAUGGACGCAAGUCUGACGGAGCAACGCCGCGUGAGUGAAGAAGGUCUUCGGAUCGUAAAGCUCUGUUGUCAGAGAAGCGGUAUCUAAACAGAAAGCCACGGCUAACUACGUGCCAGCAGCCGCGGUAAUAC